GUCCUUUUGAAAAUAAUUUAAGGUCUAACCUGCCCACUGAAAUUUAUUUAAAUGGCCGCAGUAUUUUGACUGUGCAAAGGUAGCAUAAUCAUUAGUUUUUUAAUUGAAAGCUGGAAUGAAAGGUUGAAUGAGAAAAUAACUGUCUUGAUUUAAAUGAUUUAGAAUUUUAUUUUUUAGUUAAAAAGCUUAAAUAAAUUUAAAAGACGAGAAGACCCUAUAGAGUUUAAUAAAAUUUAAUAAUUUUAUAAAAUAGGAUUAAAAUUUAGGAUUAUUAUAUUUUAUUUAAUUGGGGUGAUUGUAAAAUUAGAUUAACUUUUAUUAAAAUAAGACAUUAAUUUAUGAAUUUAUGAGCCAUAGAAUUAUGAUUAUAAGAUUAAAUUACCUUAGGGAUAACAGCGUAAUAUUUUUUUAGAGUUCUUAUCGAAAAAAGUGAUUGCGACCUCGAUGUUGGAUUAAAUUAAAUUAUUGGUGGAGAUACUAAUGAAUUAGGUCUGUUCGACCUUUAAAAAUUUACA
rnacentral:rRNA from 1 species